GAUCCCAUAGUGUAGUGGUUAGCACUCCAGGUUUUGACUCUGGCAACCCGAGUUCGAAUCUCGGUGGGAUCU